GGGAGGGUAGCUCAGAGGGAGAGCACUACGCUGAAGACGUAGCCGUCGGGAGUUCGAUUCUCCCCUCUCCCA
rnacentral:tRNA from 1 species